ACAUUUCCGACCUACUCAACACGCCGAAAAAUAGACUCUCCCAAAAGUUCAAACACGGUGGAAAUAAUGGUAUGCCCACAUUUAAUCGCAGUAGCUCAAGUUGUUUCCUAGAAAACUGAUUGGUGACGUCAAGAUUUAUUUCAAAUUAACAACGGCUUCAGUUUCAGCGCAGAAGAGAAAGAGUUAAUACGAAAACCAAACAGAUAUUUAAAUCUAAGAAUAACUUAGUUUAUAAGAAACAUGUCGAAGCAGGUUGCGAAAGGAACCGGUACACCCAACCAAAUUAGGGUAUCGCAAACCACAAGAGGAGCCGUGCAGCAAAGUAAUGCAAGGCAAGCCGCCAGUGUUACGGAACGGGUGACUGUCAGUCCAAAGGGUGUCACAAUAAGUCAAACAACCCGAGAAACCAGAAGCGUGACGAUUCCUGCUGGAAAGCAGAUACAAGGAAAACGUAAAUGAUGAUAAUAAAAUAUUACUUUUGUAAUGAUUAAUGAGUUUAAACUCAAAAUAAAAAGCUAAAGCUGAACAAUUAUUGGUCUAUUAAUAAAUACGAUAUAUAUUUA